rnacentral:lncRNA from 1 species
GAAAGCAUGAAGUUUGCAUCCAACUAGCUGAACAGGGCAUCAUAGAUGUACAUGUACAGUUGUGAAUAUCCCAGAAGAUAUAUGUUGUCAGACCCAAAUUACCAUGUCACUGUCCAUGAAGUACUAAACUUGUUUCUAAUUUGCACCAAGAUUAUAGAUUACCAAAUGAUUUAAACUUGCUAAAACGAGACCCUGUACCAACCAGCCCAUCUGGCAGGCUACCAUAGCUGCAUUUCAACAGUACUUCUACUGUUCUACAGCUGUGAUGCAACCCUUUCCGAUCCUUCCAGCAGAAUAAAUCAUGUCUUUUGGCUCCAUAGCAGACUUUGGAAUAACAUGCCCUCUCCCUACAACUGGUCACUUUCAAUUAUGUCAUCUCAACUUCACAGGUCCUGAUGCAACUGCAGCCACCACAAAGGAAUGAAGAACCAAUAAGACUUGGAUGUCAUCAAUUUUCUGAAAAAAGAAAAACAUAUAAUUGACAUAUUAGACAUGAAGGAUGGGACCACAGUAUAAGCUGACCAUAGCAUAAACAGAAAUAAAACGAUCAACACACAGCAUCGCUAAGGUGUAGUAGACAAAAAUAAAUUGGGAGAAAGCCAUACAUAGUUUUUCAGAUAUGUACAUUGUUGGCCAGAUAUGAUCUCAAUGACAGGGCCUGAUAUGUGCAUUGAAGGGUACAGAUUAUUUUAGUGUUGUUGUUUUCAUCGUCGUCGUUAUUCUUCUAUUUUAAAUUGACAAGAUGAGUAGGGGGAGAGUAAAGGAAAAAUGGAUCAAGUAGUGAACUUUCUAGAGAAUAUAUUGGAGAAUACAAUCGGACAAAAACCCAUUAGAAAAAGGAUAAUAAGGCAUAAUACAAUUUUGCAUUUGCACACAGCAUGGGUGCCAUUCAUUUGAUUUGGCACCCUGAUUGGCGGUAUUUUCAAUACCUUCUCGAGUGGAUGCAAAAUCUACAGAGGAUAAAUGAAAACAUCUGACAUGCUUAAGGAUAGUUAUGCAUAUUGAUUACAUGCGAAGCUACCUGAAACAUGAUAUGCUCCAAGUAUACUGGCUGCAUCUGCAUCUACUCUCAUCAGAUAAUUGGAUUAAUUCAACUUAAUCUAUAAUUUAUUGAAAUAGUUGGCUGAAUGAUUAUAGGUACAACAAGAAUCAAAUUUUGCAAUUUUCCAUGCUAUUGGAGCUCACUGAGACCCGGUAUAUGUAAGAACUUAAAUGGGUCAAUUCCUUAAAAUAGUAACCUUAAUACAGCACCUUUGACAAGGACCAGUAUCACCAAAGUGGCUAUGGUCCUGCCAGGCCACGAGGUAAUUUUGCUGACUUGGCAAAAACCAUUCAGACUAUUUCAAUAUCAAAUUAUGUAGUAAUCUUGAAUGUAGUUAGGUCCAUCAAAUUAUGUAUGCAUAUACGAACAUAUAUCAAAAGUUAAUAGAUAAGGUAUACAUGUUUAUGCGCAUAGACACAUAAAUAAAAUCCCUGAAUAAAAUCUUGCUGCUUCUCUGUGAAGGCUUUUCUAAGGCAGGCCUAGGGGGUGGCUCCAUAAACAAUCACAAUAAAUUGUGUACUUCCCAACUUUCCCUCUAGGUCUUGAUGCAAGACCCUCUCCUGCCCAAAUUUGAGAACAGUUGGCUAAAGAUUUUAAACUUGCGAAUCAUACCUAGAUGAGUAUAGUCAAAUGCAUUUGAUGAAAUAACUCAUAAGGUUAAGCCUACACAUGUAGUCCCUAAUGAGAAACUGUGGUAAAUAAGGAUUCACCUAACUAAAUUAAAAAAUUAUAAAAUACUACACAUGAAUAUAUCUAACAUGUAGCAUAUAGGUUUUCAGCUAUAUCCUAUAUUAUACAACUUAAAUGAUAUAUAUUAUAAGUUGACAUGUUAAAUUGUAAAUUAUAACAUAUUAAUGAAACAUAAUUAUGAGGCCAAGAGAGGAGAGAGAGGGUAUAUAAUCAUUACCAGUUGAUCAUCACCAAAUCAUUGCCAUUUGCCAAUAAGUUAUUUAUUCCUUUCUUUCCUUCUCAUUUUCCCUUACUUUUUCCCUUCUUAUAUUUCAUAUUUACCUCCCUUUCUCCAUUUUCUACCUGUUCGAUUAAUAUGCCCGUACUGCUCUUUUAUCUUUUCUUUUCCUCUCAUUUGUUCUUUUUCCUCUUCUAAUUCCCCUAAUUCAUUCUCUUUUUUCCCUCCACCUUUUCUCUCUCUUUUUCCGUUUUUAAUCUCAUAUUCCUCUUCAUUCUCUCUUUUGCCCCCUUCUUUCCAGCUAAGACAAAUGUGGCUACCUAGCAGGUUAUGUGCAUGCUAGAUUCCUUUACAACCUUAACAAGGAUGGAAAUUUCAAUAAUUCUUGAUGCAGGUGUAUAUUAAUUUUUUUUGAAUGCAGAUACCUGGGCUAGGUGCUUGGACCUAUCCUAGCUGGCUAGCUCAGAGCCCAAACAGGUAGAUACCCCCCUUAUGCUGGUUGAUUGCAUAGAGGAUGCUACAGUGGCUCACAUGGGCCUAGGCAGGUUGGUCUAGGACUAUCCUUUUGGGCUGAUUUGAUAUCGGGCAGGGCAGCUAGGGGUAUCAAGUAAGCAAGCAAGUUACAACUCCUAUUUUCGUUCUGAUUACUGCCUAAACACAUUAGUAAAAUUUACAUGUUUUGGUAACUAUUUUAGUUUGUUAUUUAUUUCCAACUUUAUAGCAAUUAUGUAUCACUUGGUGCAAUUGCUUUUUGUAUUAACCUAAUUUAUUGAAUAUAUUUAUUUGGAUCAUCGAUGUAUAUUUUUGCAUUAACGUGUCAAUUGAAAUAGGCCCUAAAUGAUUGUAAAACCACUGUUGCAUUCCACUUUGUAUCCUUUAAGUUUUUUCUAAGCUUGUAGUCUCUAUAUUUAUGAACUAAACUAAUCUUUAACUUUUAAACACAAAUAUGUAAAGACUAGCCCAGUAGCUAGUUCGGCUGACCCCAAGAAGACCAACUUUCCGGAUAAGUACAGUUAUCCACUCCCACUGGCACUUAGUAAAUAUUGGAAAUAUGAUAAAAUAAAAAGGGUAAAGCUUGAACGUAGUCGGACAAUGGCUAACCUGUGCUUCUAUGUGGCACAACCUAACAUUCAUUAGGCGUUAUGAGUGCAGAGUAGUGAACCCACAAGUGUGAUCACGGUCUGAGCCAAAAGAGAAACUAAACUAUAAGGCAGCCUCUCCUUUGUCCGCUGGCCAACAUGGAACCAAGGGGAGACAGCUUUUGAGUAUUGAAGCAUCCACCUCUCCCAUAUGAUCUCUUAUAUGCCUUGGGUACAAAACAAGAUAGAAUAUGAAAUAAAAUGGGAAAGAAAUCCCAAAAUAUACAGAAAAUUCAGAAAAAAAUAUAUUUAACAUUUAUUUUGUCUCAUAGAUUGCCAUUAAAUUUCUUUCAUAGUGAUUUUGUCUGAUUCUUAUGUGCAGGUUAUGUGUUAGCUUUGGAAGCAGGAAGCUGUGGAUUCAAAGGACCAUUCUUGCAUCAGAAAUCAAAAUUAACUCUUUCUUCUUUUCUUUAUUUUUCCUCUUUUUAUUUGUAAACCUAGAUUUCUUCAGCUUGUUGUUUAUAUCCAUAUCAAUAACUUCUUACUAGUAUACAUGUAAAUUUAAAUCUGCAAAUUUCAGAUUCUUGUGAUUUGCUAGCCUUUAAGGAAGUUUUCAUGGACAUAUUGUGCCAGUAUUUCGGCUUCAAAAUACUAUAUAAAGUAAUAGAGAAACCAUUUCUGUUCUGCUUUAGAUCAAAGCAUUGUUAUCAGAAACACUCUUCCCUUUCCCCCUAAAACUGAUUAUUCCUAGAGUAAUUACCCUCCACCAUAGUGGACAACAUACUAUUAGUGAUAACAAAUAGUUUUAUGUGGAAUUAUCCUUGUAGUUUUGUAACUGGAAAAUAAGAAUAAAUUAGUAGAGAAAAACUGUAUCAAAUUACUUAAUGGUCGGGAAUGAGGCAUUUCUAUGAAGGCAGAAAGGGAAAUAUUACCAAAGAAUGCUAACAUAUCAGCCACAGAACUCGCCACUAAGCAUGUGGAAUUAAAUGCAUGCUCAUCUGUAAAAUACCUGGAUGCAAAUUUAUUUUCCAGACAGCAUUUACUAAGCUUUGUUACAUAAACAAAGAACUUCUUGAUUGCGUCAACUAAUUAAUAUACCUUGUUAGGCACCACUUGACCUUUUAAUUAGCUUUUUGAAUCAAUCAUGAAACAACUGCAUAAUGCGAAAUUUACUAUUUUUUUGUUUAACAAGUCAAUAAUUGUUAAUAUUUUAUAGAAUUAAAAAAUAUUAUUUAAUAAUGUUUAUUGAAUGCUUUGAUUAUCAAAUUUAGUUCUUGCUUAUAAGGGUUAUUUAAGUGUAAUAAAGUGAAACGUGCUUAUAUAUUUUUCUUUUCUUGCUUAGAUGGGUUACCAAAAAAUGAGUAGAAUGGAAUAUGCUUAUAUGAGUUUUCCUUCCUUAGUUGAGUGACACAGGACAAAAUGGAGAGGAGAGAGGAAGAGGAAGAAGAAGAAGAGGAGAAGUUAGAGGGAGAGGGCAACUCAAUAUUAUAUAUUCUCAAAUCUCAAUAAUGCAAAAUGUAUUCUCAAUUAAUAUAGCACUGUCUUAAUAUAAACAAAAUUCAAAACUCUAAUAAAAUUACGCAUAAAAAUAAAAUAUUGGAGUGCUCAUAAAAAUCUAAUUCUAGAGUCAACAACAUUCUAGUCCUAGAGUCCACAUAAAAAUAAAAAUUUUUAAUUUUUAAAUAAAAUAAAAUUUUCUAAUUUUUAUAUUUGUGCCUAGCAGAAAUGUGCCUAGAUGUCUUGUUGGACGGCCCUCCAUCACCGAGUUAUUAAAAACAGAAAUAGAAUGAAAUAUAUUUAGAAACUCUACUUAAGGGUUCGAAACCGAGUUCUUAAAAACUAGAAAGAGAGGGAAAAUGAAAAGCCAUGUUGCUAAGAUCCGAGAAACAUAACUCAAUUUUCUCCAUAUAUUUCCUAUUCCAUUGUCAUGGAUCAAAUAGCUCUAUGACCAAACAUUAGUUGCAUAAAUUCCCUUGUCAAGUUACCGUUGCCAACACCCAUGUUCCUAGACCAAGAGUGUACUUUUGUUGGGUAAGUCAAUCUCACACAGCAUCCGGCUGUGUCAACUUGAAGUUCUUUGACACUUUGGAGUCUGAAAUGUGCAAUUCCUACUUAGAAGAGAAACAUCUCUCA